CAGAGUUUGUCCAAGAUACAGGCACUGGAAUCUCACCCUCCAUUUGUUUGUUCAACAGGUUUUUAUCUGGCGCCCACUGGAUGCAGAGAUGGAGCUGAAGCCGCCCUGCGAAGGAGAGAGGCAGUAAAAGCGACAGAAAGGAACUGCCAUCAGCAGGGAGCGGGAGCCAUGGGAGCUGUGCACGUGCAGGACGGACCUCUGAGGGGACGUGGAGCUGGCCGCAAGCUCAGCAGGGUCUUUGCAAAGAUGAGGUGGGGCCUGGAUUUGCUCUGCAUGGUCUCAAGAACCAGGGCUGGAACCGCCUUCUCCACCUAGACUCCGAUUCCUGCAAACACAGGGGUGAUGGAACCCUAAGGAAACGUGAAAGCACCUGCCUUCUGCUCUCAAUAACAUCGCAGCUGAUCAAGCUCUGCCAGCUCGCGGCCCCAUGGCUCCCGGAAGAGAGUAGGAAAUUCAGAAUUGCCAACUCGGUUUUCCCCACCAAGCACAUUUUGUUUAAAAUUUUCAUCUAGAGUCACCAUAAUUUCUUAAAAGAAAAAACAUUUUUUUUUUUUUUGAAGAUUAGCCCUGAGCUAACAUCUGCCACCAAUCCUCCUCUUUUUGCUG